rnacentral:rRNA from 1 species
UACGACUACAUAUCAGGCAUAUCAAUAAGCGGAGGAAAAGAAACUAACUAGGAUUCCCUCAGUAACGGCGAGUGAAGCGGGAAGAGCUCAAAUUUGAAAUCUUCAAGGUUUUACCUUGACGAAUUGUAGUUUAAAGAAGUGUUUUCUGUUGGUGUUUUGGUAAAAGUUCUUUGGAAUAGGACAUCAUAGAGGGUGAGAAUCCCGUAUUUGACCAUUACUUCCAGCGUUGUGAUACACUUUCAAAGAGUCGGAUUGUUUGGGAAUGCAGUCCAAGAUGGGUGGUAAAUUUCAUCUAAAGCUAAAUAUUGGCGAGAGACCGAUAGCGAACAAGUACCGUGAGGGAAAGAUGAAAAGAACUUUGAAAAGAGAGUUAAGCAGUACGUGAAAUUGUCAAAAGGGAAGCGUUUGACACCAGUGUUGUUUUCUCGAAAAUCAAUUAAAAGAGUUGGAUUUUGUAUUGUUAAGACCUUAUCAGCUUACGUACUUUUUUCUGAUUCUUUUUAAUGCACUUUUCGUUUAACAAGUCAACAUCAAUUUCUUUUGUUGUAAAAGGAGUCAUUGGAAGGUGGCUUUCACUUCGGUGAAAGUGUUUAUAGCCUUUGGCUUCUACAAUCGGAGAGAUUGAGGUCUGCAGCGUAGAUCCUUCGGGGUUAGAUACGUAGAUGCUAAGUUAUAGUUUUUCAUAGACAACUUGUUGACUAUGAUUAAUCAUGUAGCUUACUCGUUUGCGCCUAUUUUACCUACGCUUAGGAUGUUGAAUCUGUGCGAGACUAC